rnacentral:rRNA from 1 species
CCAAGGGUAUUGCUCAGUACGGCGAGUGAAGCGGCAAAAGCUCAAAUUUUAAAGCUGGCACCUUCGGUGUCCGCGUUGUAAUUUUGUGAGGCAUCUCCGGGUAGGGCGCCGGCCUAAGUUCCUUGGAACAGGACGUCAUAGAGGGUGAGAAUCCCGUGCUUGGCUGGCUGUCCCCGUCCAUGUGAGGUGUCUUCGACGAGUCGAGUUGUUUGGGAAUGCAGCUCAAAAUGGGUGGUAAAUUUCAUCUAAAGCUAAAUAUUGGUGGGAGACCGAUAGCGCACAAGUAGAGUGAUCGAAAGAUGAAAAGCACUUUGAAAAUAGAGUUAAAAAGUACGUGAAAUUGUUGAAAGGGAAGCGCUUGAGACCAGACUUCGGUGGGGGGUGAUCAGCUGUCCUUCUGGGCGGUGCACUUGCUCCCCUCCGGGCCAGCAUCGGUUGGGGCGGCGGGAUAAAGAUCCCGGGAAUGUGGCUCCUUUCGGGGAGUGUUAUAGCCCGGGUGAAUGCCGCCAGUUCCGACCGAGGACCGCGCCUUCGGGCUAGGAUGCUUGGCAUAAUGGUCUUCAGCGACCCGUCUUGAACCACGGACCA